rnacentral:rRNA from 1 species
GACGAACGCUGGCGGCGUGCCUAAUACAUGCAAGUCGAGCGAAGUUUUUCUGGUGCUUGCACUAGAAAAACUUAGCGGCGAACGGGUGAGUAACACGUAAAGAACCUGCCUCAUAGACUGGGACAACUAUUGGAAACGAUAGCUAAUACCGGAUAACAGCAUUAACUGCAUGGUUGAUGUUUAAAAGUUGGUUUUGCUAACACUAUGAGAAGGCUUUGCGGUGCAUUAGCUAGUUGGUGGGGUAAAGGCCUACCAAGGCGACGAUGCAUAGCCGACCUGAGAGGGUGAUCGGCCACACUGGGACUGAGACACGGCCCAGACUCCUACGGGAGGCAGCAGUAGGGAAUCUUCCGCAAUGGGCGAAAGCCUGACGGAGCAACGCCGCGUGAGUGAAGAAGGAUUUCGGUUCGUAAAGCUCUGUUGUUAGGGAAGAAUGAUUGUGUAGUAACUAUACACAGUAGAGACGGUACCUAACCAGAAAGCCACGGCUAACUACGUGCCAGCAGCCGCGGUAAUACGUAGGUGGCAAGCGUUGUCCGGAAUUAUUGGGCGUAAAGCGCGCGCAGGUGGUUUAAUAAGUCUGAUGUGAAAGCCCACGGCUCAACCGUGGAGGGUCAUUGGAAACUGUUAAACUUGAGUGCAGGAGAGAAAAGUGGAAUUCCUAGUGUAGCGGUGAAAUGCGUAGAGAUUAGGAGGAACACCAGUGGCGAAGGCGGCUUUUUGGCCUGUAACUGACACUGAGGCGCGAAAGCGUGGGGAGCAAACAGGAUUAGAUACCCUGGUAGUCCAAGGGCGAAUUCCACAGUGGAUAUCAAGCUUAUCGAUACCGUCGACCUCGAGGGGGGGCCCGGUACCCAGCUUUUGUUCCCUUUAGUGGGGGUUA